rnacentral:rRNA from 1 species
GACGAACGCUUGCGGCGUGCUUAACACAUGCAAGUCGAACGGAAAGGCCCUGCUUUUGUGGGGUGCUCGAGUGGCGAACGGGUGAGUAACACGUGAGUAACCUGCCCUUGACUUUGGGAUAACUUCAGGAAACUGGGGCUAAUACCGGAUAGGAGCUCCUGCUGCAUGGUGGGGGUUGGAAAGUUUCGGCGGUUGGGGAUGGACUCGCGGCUUAUCAGCUUGUUGGUGGGGUAGUGGCUUACCAAGGCUUUGACGGGUAGCCGGCCUGAGAGGGUGACCGGCCACAUUGGGACUGAGAUACGGCCCAGACUCCUACGGGAGGCAGCAGUGGGGAAUAUUGCACGAUGGGCGGAAGCCUGAUGCAGCAACGCCGCGUGCGGGAUGACGGCCUUCGGGUUGUAAACCGCUUUCGCCUGUGACGAAGCGUGAGUGACGGUAAUGGGUAAAGAAGCACCGGCUAACUACGUGCCAGCAGCCGCGGUGAUACGUAGGGUGCGAGCGUUGUCCGGAUUUAUUGGGCGUAAAGGGCUCGUAGGUGGUUGAUCGCGUCGGAAGUGUAAUCUUGGGGCUUAACCCUGAGCGUGCUUUCGAUACGGGUUGACUUGAGGAAGGUAGGGGAGAAUGGAAUUCCUGGUGGAGCGGUGGAAUGCGCAGAUAUCAGGAGGAACACCAGUGGCGAAGGCGGUUCUCUGGGCCUUUCCUGACGCUGAGGAGCGAAAGCGUGGGGAGCGAACAGGCUUAGAUACCCUGGUAGUCCACGCUGUAAACGGUGGGUACUAGGUGUGGGGUCCAUUCCACGGGUUCCGUGCCGUAGCUAACGCUUUAAGUACCCCGCCUGGGGAGUACGGCCGCAAGGCUAAAACUCAAAGGAAUUGACGGGGCCCCGCACAAGCGGCGGAGCAUGCGGAUUAAUUCGAUGCAACGCGUAGAACCUUACCUGGGUUUGACAUGGAUCGGGAGUGCUCAGAGAUGGGUGUGCCUCUUUUGGGGUCGGUUCACAGGUGGUGCAUGGCUGUCGUCAGCUCGUGUCGUGAGAUGUUGGGUUAAGUCCCGCAACGAGCGCAACCCUUGUUCACUGUUGCCAGCACGUUAUGGUGGGGACUCAGUGGAGACCGCCAGGGUCAACUCGGAGGAAGGUGGGGAUGACGUCAAGUCAUCAUGCCCCUUAUGUCCAGGGCUUCACGCAUGCUACAAUGGCUGGUACAGAGAGUGGCGAGCCUGUGAGGGUGAGCGAAUCUCGGAAAGCCGGUCUCAGUUCGGAUUGGGGUCUGCAACUCGACCUCAUGAAGUCGGAGUCGCUAGUAAUCGCAGAUCAGCAACGCUGCGGUGAAUACGUUCCCGGG